UACGUAGGGUGCGAGCGUUGUCCGGAAUUAUUGGGCGUAAAGAGCUCGUAGGCGGUUUGUCGCGUCUGUCGUGAAAGCUUGGGGCUUAACCCCAAGUCUGCGGUGGAUACGGGCAGACUAGAGGCAGGUAGGGGAGAACGGAAUUCCCGGUGUAGCGGUGAAAUGCGCAGAUAUCGGGAGGAACACCGGUGGCGAAGGCGGUUCUCUGGGCCUGUACUGACGCUGAGACGCGAAAGCGUGGGGAGCGAACAGG
rnacentral:rRNA from 1 species